rnacentral:lncRNA from 1 species
UAGUCUCUCCUUUCUCAACCAGCAAUAUAGUUAACCUUUGCAUUUCUUCACCCAUCCUUUCAGCAACAGCAGCUUGAUUUUUCUACUCAUAUUGCAGUCUUCUUAGUCUCCUUAGUUCAUCCUAGCAAAUCAGGGAUAAUCUACUUUGAUCUAGUAUAUUUCAAGAUUAUUCCAUCUAAAUGCAUUGCAUCUACUUAAAGAUUCAGAUGGAUCAUACAAACCGCACCUAUA